rnacentral:tRNA from 1 species
AUUUAAUUGUGCAAUUCAAUUUAAUUUGAUAACUAUAUUCUUACUUAAAAUCUUUUGUUUAUAUGA